rnacentral:lncRNA from 1 species
GGUGGAAAGUUGUAGAGGGAAAGCCAAUAUGAUAUUAAAAUUCUGAUUAGCAAUUUUUAUCCGUUUUGCACAAAAUAACUGCACUAGCAGUUAUGUUUUGAACAGACACUGUUCCAAAAAUUGUAUUGGUUCAGAGUUUAGUUCAUGGUUAUAAAUUGCUAAUUUCCUUCAUAAAUUAAAUUAACUUCUUCCAUAAAAAAUCUUUCAUUCCGUUGUUCUGGAGAAUCCUAGUUUUGCUGGCUAGGAUUCUAUUUCGGUUUUGUUGUAUCCUGAAGCGAAUUUGCUGAAUUACCAACAGCAACAUAGUAGGAGCAAAAUUCGCUUAAGGAUAGUGUUAAUUCAUGCUUCAAGACCGAUUUCAAAUACUAGAGUUGCUUCUGUUUCAACAAUUAAACCCAAAGCAACCAAAUUUAUUCGUAAAAUAAGAACAGUCAACAAUCUCAGGCUCUCUCUCUCCAAUCUCUAUCGACUCCCAGAGCCACGAGAGAGAAUAAAAGAGUCGUCGAGUUCAAGCCGCCGACCCAUCUGAAAACUACCCUUGGAUUUGACGCCGUCACGCCUACAUUUCAUGCCGUCACAUAAACACCUUUUUAUGAGGACUACUUCGUUCAUUAGGGACACCACCAGUGAGGAUAGGCUAAGUGUAACCGAACUCAUAAAUGCCGCGGAUCCAUGGAUUGCAGUAUUGUUACGUGUAUCUGUAUAUAUUAACGCGAGAGUCGAGACCCACCAUCAUGCUCUAAAUGAGGAGCAUCACCAUGCUAUCAAGAGUACAGCUAACUAAAAAUUCAUAGUUAACCAAAGAGCUAAUAAUUCUGCUACAAAAUUGUCAAGCUUUGGAUGGAAGAUAGCUCCAUCGGUAGGUAGACGAUGGCUUUCCUCUAGAUAGGGUGCCGAGGUAAGGAGUCAUGUUCAACUCCAUGUACAGCAGUUGGUUGUUUCUACGUACGUGUGUCGAGAGCGAAAUGUGCCAAUUAGUGUAGCGAAGUGCAUUGAGGUUUAAUUGCCCCGAUACUAACGUUUUUAUGCCUAUAAUCAAAGGUUCUAAGCUUAAGUUUUAGAUUGUGCCCCUC